rnacentral:rRNA from 1 species
AGAGUUUGAUCAUGGCUCAGGAUGAACGCUGGCGGCGUGCCUAAUACAUGCAAGUGAAACGGGUAUCUUCGGAUACCAGUCGCGGACGGGUGAGUAAUACAUAGGCAACCUGCCUUUAUGAGGGGGAUAACCGAGGGAAACUUUGGCUAAUACCGCAUGAAGACUCUAAGGCAUCUUAGAGGAUAAAGUUGGGAAACAACGCAUGAAGAUGGGCUUAUGGCGCAUUAGCUAGUUGGUGAGAUAGAAGCCCACCAAGGUAAUGAUGCGUAGCCGACCUGAGAGGGUGAACGGCCACAUUGGGACUGAGACACGGCCCAAACUCCUACGGGAGGCAGCAGUAGGGAAUUUUCGGCAAUGGGGGGAACCCUGACCGAGCAACGCCCGCGUGAAGGAAGAAGGUUUUCGGAUUGUAAACUUCUGUUAUAAGGGAAGAACGGAUUGGAUAGGGAAUGAUCUGAUAGUGACGGUACCUUAUUAGAAAGCCACGGCUAACUACGUGCCAGCCGCCGC